rnacentral:lncRNA from 1 species
UACAUUCAUGGCUUCUAUCAGAGCACAAUAACAUACAACAGCAGAACAAAUCAAUGACAAAAUUAGAUGGAGCCAAAUCAUCUCUAGCAGCCGCUUCUGCUCACUUGAAGACAAUCUUACACAAGUGCAGCCUGUUCCCUGCCUCUGUGUUUCCCAGGGACUCCUCAAACACACAUCAGGAAUCAGAUAUGGGCUAAACAGAACAAAAGACUGAUGGAACAAGAGAGCUUCAGGGGCAGGGGGCAGAUGACUUUGCUUCAUGGAGUGAAAUUAGACUGCCACUUAAGAUACAAACCAGAUCAGGAACCUGUUCCAUCCCUUAGCCCAAAUGACUUGCUAAAAUGGACACCAAAAGGAUACAGUGUGUUGAUGGAAAGCUCUGAAUAAACAGCUCAAUUGGAUGAAACAGUUCACCUGAAAUGAAGGAAAAAGCUCUCCCUCAAUCUGAGCAAAAGAACACUUUUAAAAGGCAUUAAUAAAAAAGGGUAUAAUAAAACUAAAAGGUAUGGC